rnacentral:rRNA from 1 species
UGAGGAAUAUUGGACAAUGGGGGAAACCCUGAUCCAGCCAUGCCGCGUGAGUGACGAAGGUCUUCGGAUUGUAAAACUCUUUUAGCAGGGAAGAUAAUGACGGUACCUGCAGAAUAAGCCCCGGCUAACUUCGUGCCAGCAGCCGCGGUAAUACGAAGGGGGCUAGCGUUGUUCGGAAUUACUGGGCGUAAAGCGCGCGUAGGCGGACUCUCAAGUCAGGGGUGAAAUCCCGAGGCUCAACCUCGGAACUGCCUUUGAUACUGUGAGUCUUGAGCUCGGAAGAGGUGGGUGGAAUUCCUAGUGUAGAGGUGAAAUUCGUAGAUAUUAGGAAGAACACCAGUGGCGAAGGCGGCCCACUGGUCCGAUGCUGACGCUGAGGUGCGAAAGCCAGGGGAGCAAACGGGAUUAGAUACCCACGUAGUCCCUGAGCGGGCUGGCAAGGCGCAU